rnacentral:lncRNA from 1 species
GGCCGCGUCGCUUUCCCCGGCCCGGCGGGCGCCGCUCUGCUGCGGCAGCGGCGCGGCUCGGCGCGGCUCGGCUCGGCUCGGCUCGCCUCUUCAUGCAGUGAGUGAAAGGCGGCUCUGGUGUUUCCCUAUUCUCGCUGUGAGGCACCCAAGCGCUUGGGGCCCAGGCGGUGCGCGGCCGCCGUUAAGCCGCGGUGCUCCCUUUCAGCUCCGCCGGGCCCUCCUUCAGGGCUUCUGCCUCCACCGUCAGCAUUUUGCGGCGUGGCACGGUGCUGCGCGGGAGGGCUCGGGCAGCGGCGAGGUGAUAACCUCUUCAGGGAUGCGCGUAGGCUAAAUGUAGUGGUGUGCUGACACCCUUCACCCUUUCGAGCAGGGUAAACUCGAAUUGCACUUCUUUCUCCUUCUGUCAGUCCUUUAUUUGACGUCUAAACAAGAAAAAGCCGUGACAAUAGGUACUUCAAAUACGAAAGGAGCAAUUUGUACUGUUAUUAUGAAAACAUUCACAACAGAUGUUAAGGCACCUGGCUUUAAAAGAUACAACAGCUACGAGCACUGAGAUGAUGUGUGCAAGGAAUCAGAAGUGAAGCAAGAAGCUGAUGGAAGCCCAGAGUUAAAAUCUGAACAGGAUGUACCAGAGACCUCUUCAGCAGCAACUGCUGAAAGAUCUACAUUUGAUCUGGAGCAGUUCCAGCAGCGCUUGUAUAUGUAUGCUACCAAGAUGUCUGAGUACACCUACCCUCUCUACAGAGCAAGAUGUUUUUGCAGUGAUUGAUUACAACAUGCAUUUGAACCGGCAAACUGCACAAUCAGCAAAAUCGGUUAAUGCACCAAGACCAGGAGGCUGAUCCCAGCGUCAAGGAUAUAAAUGAGAUUCCUUUGGGUUCAAGGAACUUAUGCUGGUCUGCUAAUUUGCUGCAUGGAAAUACAGAUGGGGCAAGCAAUUGUUUCUUCCUUCUCCUUUGUUAUAG